CCCUACUAGAGUGUAUUGGAUGUUGUUCAGAACAGGUAUUUUAGGGGAGAUAAGGAAGAGGAGAACAAGUGAGGAUAGGGAAACAAGUGAAGGAUUGGGAGAAAGAAGAGGGGGACAAGUGAGGUGUGGGGAGAAGAAAGAUACCUAAAGGACACGUGAGGGAAGUGGAAAAAGAAGUGGGUGAACAAAUGGGGAAAUGGGGAACAAAAAA